UACGUAGGGUGCGAGCGUUGUCCGGAAUUAUUGGGCGUAAAGAGCUCGUAGGCGGUUUGUUGCGUCGGCCGUGAAAACCUGCAGCUUAACUGUGGGCCUGCGGCCGAUACGGGCAGACUUGAGUUCGGUAGUGGAGACUGGAAUUCCUGGUGUAGCGGUGAAAUGCGCAGAUAUCAGGAGGAACACCGGUGGCGAAGGCGGGUCUCUGGGCCGAUACUGACGCUGAGGAGCGAAAGCGUGGGGAGCGAACAGG
rnacentral:rRNA from 1 species